rnacentral:rRNA from 1 species
GACGUAGGUGGCGAGCGUUAUCCGGAUUUACUGGGCGUAAAGCGCGUGCAGGCGGUUCGGCAAGUCGGGCGUGAAAUCUCCUGGCUCAACUGGGAGGGGUCGUCCGAAACUACCGGACUUGAGGGCAGUAGAGGGAGGUGGAAUUCCGGGUGUAGUGGUGAAAUGCGUAGAUAUCCGGAGGAACACCGGUGGCGAAAGCGGCCUCCUGGGCUGCCCCUGACGCUCAGACGCGAAAGCUAGGGGAGCGAACGGG